GUUUUUAGGACCUGGUCAAAAGCCCAUUGAAGUCAAUGGGAGUCUUUCCAUUUAUUUCAGUGGGCUUUGGAUCAGGGCCAUUAAC
rnacentral:pre_miRNA from 1 species